AUGAACGCUAGCGACAGGCUUAACACAUGCAAGUCGAGGGGCAGCACAGGUAGCAAUACCGGGUGGCGACCGGCGCACGGGUGAGUAACGCGUAUGCAACUUGCCUAUCAGAGGGGGAUAACCCGGCGAAAGUCGGACUAAUACCGCAUGAAGCAGGGAUCCCGCAUGGGAAUAUUUGCUAAAGAUUCAUCGCUGAUAGAUAGGCAUGCGUUCCAUUAGGCAGUUGGCGGGGUAACGGCCCACCAAACCGACGAUGGAUAGGGGUUCUGAGAGGAAGGUCCCCCACAUUGGUACUGAGACACGGACCAAACUCCUACGGGAGGCAGCAGUGAGGAAUAUUGGUCAAUGGCCGAGAGGCUGAACCAGCCAAGUCGCGUGAGGGAUGAAGGUUCUAUGGAUCGUAAACCUCUUUUAUAAGGGAAUAAAGUGCGGGACGUGUCCCGUUUUGUAUGUACCUUAUGAAUAAGGAUCGGCUAACUCCGUGCCAGCAGCCGCGGUAAUACGGAGGAUCCGAGCGUUAUCCGGAUUUAUUGGGUUUAAAGGGUGCGUAGGCGGCCUUUUAAGUCAGCGGUGAAAGUCUGUGGCUCAACCAUAGAAUUGCCGUUGAAACUGGGGGGCUCGAGUAUGUUUGAGGCAGGCGGAAUGCGUGGUGUAGCGGUGAAAUGCAUAGAUAUCACGCAGAACCCCGAUUGCGAAGGCAGCCUGCCAAGCCAUUACUGACGCUGAUGCACGAAAGCGUGGGGAUCAAACAGGAUUAGAUACCCUGGUAGUCCACGCAGUAAACGAUGAUCACUAGCUGUUUGCGAUACAGUGUAAGCGGCACAGCGAAAGCGUUAAGUGAUCCACCUGGGGAGUACGCCGGCAACGGUGAAACUCAAAGGAAUUGACGGGGGCCCGCACAAGCGGAGGAACAUGUGGUUUAAUUCGAUGAUGCGCGAGGAACCUUACCCGGGUUUGAACGCAUUCGGACCGAGGUGGAAACACCUUUUCUAGCAAUAGUCGUUUGCGAGGUGCUGCAUGGUUGUCGUCAGCUCGUGCCGUGAGGUGUCGGCUUAAGUGCCAUAACGAGCGCAACCCUUGCCACUAGUUACUAACAGGUAAAGCUGAGGACUCUGGUGGGACUGCCAGCGUAAGCUGCGAGGAAGGCGGGGAUGACGUCAAAUCAGCACGGCCCUUACAUCCGGGGCGACACACGUGUUACAAUGGCGUGGACAAAGGGAGGCCACCUGGCGACAGGGAGCGAAUCCCCAAACCACGUCUCAGUUCGGAUCGGAGUCUGCAACCCGACUCCGUGAAGCUGGAUUCGCUAGUAAUCGCGCAUCAGCCAUGGCGCGGUGAAUACGUUCCCGGGCCUUGUACACACCGCCCGUCAAGCCAUGGGAGCCGGGGGUACCUGAAGUCCGUAACCGCGAGGAUCGGCCUAGGGUAAAACUGGUGACUGGGGCU
rnacentral:rRNA from 1 species